rnacentral:rRNA from 1 species
AUUGAACGCUGGCGGCAUGCCUAACACAUGCAAGUCGAGCGGAGCGUCGGACGGGUGCGUAUUGCCUAGGCAUAUGCCUGGUAGUGGGCGACAGCGUCCGGAAACGGGCGCUAAUACCGCAUACUUUCAGUUGAGUUCAGGUCGGACGAGCUAGUUGGGGUGGUAAAGGCCUACCAAGGCGACGAUCCGUAACUGGUCUGAGAGGAUGAUCGGUCACACUGGGACGGAGACACGGCCCAGACUCCUACGGGAGGCAGCAGUGGGGAAUAUUGGGCAAUGGGCGAAAGCCUGAUCCAGCAAUGCCGCGUGUAUGAAGAAGGUCUUCGGGUUGGAAAGCACUUUAAGGUGGGAGGCGUUACCAACAGAAUAAGCAACGGCUAACUCCGUGCCAGCAGCCGCGGUAAUUC